AGAGUUUGAUCCUGGCUCAGGAUGAACGCUAGCGGCAGGCCUAAUACAUGCAAGUCGAACGAGAUUAUCCAGCUUGCUGGAUUUGAAAGUGGCGCACGGGUGCGUAACGCGUAUGCAACCUACCUUAAUCAGGGGGAUAGCCCGGAGAAAUCCGGAUUAACACCGCAUAAAAACACAGGAUAGCAUUAUCCAAUGUUCAAAUAUUUAUAGGAUUAAGAUGGGCAUGCGUGUCAUUAGCUAGUUGGCGGGGUAACGGCCCACCAAGGCGACGAUGACUAGGGGAUCUGAGAGGAUGACCCCCCACACUGGUACUGAGACACGGACCAGACUCCUACGGGAGGCAGCAGUAAGGAAUAUUGGUCAAUGGAGGCAACUCUGAACCAGCCAUGCCGCGUGCAGGAAGACUGCCCUAUGGGUUGUAAACUGCUUUUAUCCGGGAAUAAACCUCUUUACGAGUAAAGAGCUGAAUGUACCGGAAGAAUAAGGAUCGGCUAACUCCGUGCCAGCAGCCGCGGUAAUACGGAGGAUCCAAGCGUUAUCCCGGAUUUAUUGGGUUUAAAGGGUGCGUAGGCGGCCUGUUAAGUCAGGGGUGAAAGACGGUAGCUCAACUAUCGCAGUGCCCUUGAUACUGAUGGGCUUGAAUGGACUAGAGGUAGGCGGAAUGAGACAAGUAGCGGUGAAAUGCAUAGAUAUGUCUCAGAACACCGAUUGCGAAGGCAGCUUACUAUGGUCUUAUUGACGCUGAGGCACGAAAGCGUGGGGAUCAAACAGGAUUAGAUACCCUGGUAGUCCACGCCCUAAACGAUGAACACUCGCUGUUGGCGAUACACAGUCAGCGGCUAAGCGAAAGCGUUAAGUGUUCCACCUGGGGAGUACGGUCGCAAGA
rnacentral:rRNA from 1 species